rnacentral:rRNA from 1 species
UAGUCCACGCCGUAAACGAUGAAUGCUAGUUGUCAGGGGGCAUGCCCUUUGGUGACGCAGCUAACGCAUUAAGCAUUCCGCCUGGGGAGUACGGUCGCAAGAUUAAAACUCAAAGGAAUUGACGGGGGGCCCGUACAAGCGGUGGAGCAUGUGGUUUAAUUCGAUGCAACGCGAAAUACCUUACCUGGGUUUGAAUUGCAGUGGACCACGCCAGAGACGGCGUUUCUCUUCGGAGUCGCCGUGAAGGUGCUGCAUGGCUGUCGUCAGCUCGUGUCGUGAGAUGUUGGGUUAAGUCCCGCAACGAGCGCAACCCUUGUCUUUAGUUGCCAUCAUUCAGUUGGGCACUUUAAAGAGACUGCCGGUGACAAACCGGAGGAAGGUAAGGAUGACGUCAAGUCAGCAUGCCCCUUAUGCUCUGGGGCUACACACGUGCUACAAUGGUCGUGACAAAGAGUU